GUACUUAUCUGGCAGGGGAGAUACCAUGAUCACGAAGGUGGUUUUCCCAGGGCUAGGCAUAUCCAUUGCACUCCAGAUGUGCUGACCCCUGCGAUUUCCCCAAAUGUGGGAAACUCGACUGCAUAAUUUGUGGUAGUGGGAGACUGCAUUCGCACUCUCCCC
rnacentral:snRNA from 1 species